rnacentral:lncRNA from 1 species
ACCUUAGUACCCUUGUAGAUAAACAGGUACAAUCCCCAGCAAUCCCCUCUCCUGCAGGAGGACAUAGCAGGCUGACCAGAGUAUUCAUGUAGAUGAAGAAGUCUAUUCCUCUGCCCUACAGGAGAACAUCAGCAGGCUUACCUUAGUACUCUUGUAGAUAAAGGGUUCCAUUGCCCUGUCCUGCAAGAGGAUAGCAGCAGACCGACAAUCCCCAACAAUCCCACCUCCUGCACGAGGAAAUCAGCAGGCUUACCUUAGUAUCCUUGUAGAUCAACAGGCCCAUUGCCCUGUCCUACAUGAGGACAUUAGCAGGCUGACCGUAAUAUCCUUGUAGAUGAACAGGAGCAAUCCCCAGAAAUUUCUUCUCCUGCACCAGGACAUUAGCAGGCUGACCUUAGCUAUCUUGUGGAUGCACAGAUUGAGAAAGAGGAGCAGAGUUGCCAUGCCCACUCUGGGCACAGCCCAGUCCAGGAAGCUCCACAGCCAGGUAUCUGGAACAUCUACAUCAGAGCAUUAUUAGGGUGUGGAGAAGGGAUGUUUGCGACGAAGAUCCUAUGGCAAGGACUUUUGGACAGGAGACUGACACCAUCUGAAUAAUGUUUGAUAGUUAACACCAGGGGAGUCGUGAAGAAAGGUAAAGCUAAGGAAGUAAGGCCAGGCAAGGAAACACAAGUCCAGUGAGGUUGGGCCAAGUGAUGAAGAACAUGUGUAGGGAACGGGGAACGGGAGGUUAUCAAGACCUCUGCCGUGGGUCCUGGCCUGUGAGCUACCACAGCACAAGGCGAACUAAAGAGCAGACAGAAACAAGACUUAAGAGUGAUGAGGCUGGGUCUUGGGACCUGGUCAGUGCUGCUGAUGGCUGUUACACCCAGUGAGAGAGAACCAACCAGAGACCGAUAUUAAAUCCACACAGGAGUUUAUUACCUGCCGGGACCUGAGGCAAGCAUCGGACUUGAGCCUCCACUGGGGGUUGACAGACAUGUUUUAUACACCUUUGAGGCCAGCAGUUUCUAGGCCCCCCAUGGGAUAGAACUAGUAAAGCAAGC